GACGAACGCUGGCGGCGUGCUUAACACAUGCAAGUGGAGCGACGAACCGGGCUUCGGCCCGGGGCAGAGCCGCGAACGGGUGAGUAACACGUGGGUUACCUGCCCCGUUGACAGGGACAACCCGGGGAAACCCGGGCUAAUACCUGAUGUGCCCUUAGGGGGAAAGGAAGCUUCGGCCUCCGCAACGGGAUGGGCCCGCGGCGCAUUAGCUUGUUGGUGGGGUAACGGCCUACCAAGGCGACGAUGCGUAGCUGGUCUGAGAGGACGAUCAGCCACACUGGGACUGAGACACGGCCCAGACUCCUACGGGAGGCAGCAGUGGGGAAUAUUGCACAAUGGGCGAAAGCCUGAUGCAGCGACACCGCGUGAGGGAUGACGGCC
rnacentral:rRNA from 1 species